rnacentral:rRNA from 1 species
GUCUCAGGCCGUAUCAGCCCGAAGGCGCCCGAUCUCGUCUGAUCUCGGAAGCUAAGCAGGGUCGGGCCUGGUUAGGAUCUUGGAUGGGAGACCACCUGGGAAUCCCGGGUGCUCGAGGCU